rnacentral:rRNA from 1 species
GACGAACGCUGGCGGCGUGGAUUAGGCAUGCAAGUCGAACGGUAUCAUCCUUUCGGGGGUGAGAGAGUGGCGAACUGGUGAGUAACACGUAGGUUAUCUACCCUCAAGACGGGGACAACCCAGGGAAACUUGGGCUAAUACCGGAUGUGAGCAACUUUUAGUUGUUUGAAAGGUGGCGUAAGCUGUCGCUUGGGGAUGAGCCUGCGUCCUAUUAGUUAGUUGGUGAGGUAACGGCUCACCUAGGCAAUGAUAGGUAGGCGGCCUUAACGGGUGGUCGCCCACACUGGGAUUGAGAUACGGCCCAGACUCCUACGGGAGGCAGCAGUCGAGAAUAGUCUACAAUGGUCGGAAGACUGAUAGUGCGACGCCGCGUGAACGAUGAAUCCCUUCGGGGUGUAAAGUUCUUUUAUAUGUGAGCAGUGCUUCUUAUAUUAACAGUAUGGGGAGAGAGAUAUUAGCAUAUGAAUAAGCAACGGCUAAACUCCGUGCCAGCAGCCGAGGUAAU